CAUGAAGCUGGAUUCGCUAGUAAUCGCGCAUCAGCCACGGCGCGGUGAAUACGUUCCCGGGCCUUGUACACACCGCCCGUCAAGCCAUGGGAGCCGGGGGUACCUGAAGUGCGUAACCGCAAGGAGCGCCCUAGGGUAAAACUGGUGACUGGGCUAAGUCGUAACAAGGUACC
rnacentral:rRNA from 1 species